GUAAGUAUGAUAUUGUUUAUUUGACAACAUUGGCUGUGAAGUAUUCUCAUUUAAAUCACUGAUUUAGCUGUGGUAUCGUUGUAUCCGAAUUCGAAUCCGAUAUAAAUACUCGUGACAAGCAUGGUUCGGUAGCAGCGAAUGCUAUGCUAUCGUCCUUGGCUGACGAGGUAAAACGUGUGGCUGGCGCACGAUUCAUUGCAUCUCGUAGAGUAGCAUUCAAUGGUAGACAGGCAGGCCUCUAGAUUGUUUAUUAUGAUUUAAUGAAGUGUUCCUAUGUGACGCUGAUGGGCCCUGGUUGCUGCUAAAUGCUUGUUGAAAGUGCAUUGUGCACUUUUUGUAUGUAGCUACAAAAUGAGGGUGGAUAUCACUUCAUAGUUUAUAGGCAUUAUAUACUAAUAAGAAUCAUUGACAAAUCACAUUCCCCUUUUACCACCACAGGACGCACCUCACCAGUAUCAGAGCAACAGCUGUGGGGUGUUUAUGCUGAUGUACGCAAUGUAUUCUACCCUCAAAAGCAAUAUGAUUUCGGGGGACAUGCUCUCUAUCAGGAGGUGGUGGUUGGACUGCUGUUGGAGACCUUUAUGCUUGAAAGCCCUGCAGAACUAGCUGGCUCCUUCUCACCCUCUCCAUCUCCCCAUCUCAGUCACACCUUCCAAUCACUAAGCAGUGAAAGCCCUGCAGGACUAGCUGGCACACCAAGCUCACCCUCUCCAUCUCCCCAUCUCAGCCACACGCUCCAAUCUGGCACAACAGAGGACAGGCCAUUCUUACCACCCGAAGUCCUUCAGCAAAUUGUACAAGAGACGCUGAGACUGGACAUGGCGAUGCUUGGCGUGUUCAACAGGGUUUCAAACACAUUCCGAGAACUAAUCAAGCCUCUC
ensembl:lncRNA